rnacentral:rRNA from 1 species
UACGUAGGGUGCAAGCGUUGUCCGGAAUUAUUGGGCGUAAAGAGCUCGUAGGCGGUCUGUCACGUCGGCUGUGAAAACCCGAGGCUCAACCUCGGGCCUGCAGUCGAUACGGGCAGACUAGAGUUCGGUAGGGGAGACUGGAAUCCUGGUGUAGCGGUGAAAUGCGCAGAUAAUCAGGAGGAACACCGGUGGCGAAGGCGGGUCUCUGGGCCGAAACUGACGCUGAGGAGCGAAAGCGUGGGGAGC